rnacentral:lncRNA from 1 species
AGACUUUCCAGGGUCUCUUCAACUUGGUCUGGGCGGUUUGCCGUUUUGCAUUAAGUGCAUGUGCUGCCUUGGGGCAUAUUCUUUGGCUGUCUGAACGGAGAUGAAAAGGGUCUUGGUUUCUCCUGACUGAGAUGAUGUGCUGCUCUCCUAAGGCCGCCGCUUGACCUCAGUUGCCCUCAGUCCUUCUUUCUGAAAUGUGGCACUUCCUCAAAUGUGCUCUUGCAGAUCUAACCUGCUUUCUUGCUGUGGCAUCUCAGUAGCUUGUGAUGGGGAGUGGGAUGGGAGAUCUGGGAUUGCUAUGUGNUUUUUUUUUUUUUUGCUUUUUAGGGCCCCACUUGCGGCAUAUGGAGGUUCCCAGGCUAGUGUUUGAAUUGGAGCUACAGCUGCCGGCCUACACCACAGCCCAGCAGUGUAGGAUCCGAGACAAGUCUGUGACCUGCACCACAGUUCACAGAAACACCGGAUCCUUAACCCACUGAGCGAGACCAAGGGUGGAACCCGUAACGUCAUGGUAACUAGUCGGAUUUGUUUCCACUGAGCCACAAUGGGAACUCUAUUUAUUUUUUUUUUAACACUGGAUUGAUGCUACUGGUACUUGAUGUUAUUUUUUGGAGUAGUGGUUGAGAUAGAGUCAUAGAGCAUUUUCUAAUUGUGGCUCUAGCACUUAUUGUCUUCUCAGCCUUUGGCAACAUACUUCUGUGAUUCUCGCUUGUCUUUUUAUUUAUUGUGGAAUUAUAGACACACUUACAAAUGUAUAUGAAAGUGUGCAGGUACCCUUUAAGGGCAAUGAUGAAGGGAGUUCCCGUCGUGGCUCAGUGGUUAAUGAAUCUGACUAGGAACCAUGAGGUUGCAGGUUGGAUCCCUGGCCUCGCUCAGUGGGUUAAGGAUCCAGUGUUGCUAUGAGCUGUAGUGUAGGUCGCAGACAAGGCUCAGAUCUGGCGUUGCUGUGACUGUGGUGUAGGCCGGCAACCUUAGCUCUGAUUCGACCCCUAGCCUGGGAACUUCCAUAUGCUGCAGGUGCAGCCCUAAAAGGAUAAAAGG